AUACAACUGACGAGUCACAAAUAGGACGAAACGAGCGUUCUACAU
rnacentral:hammerhead_ribozyme from 1 species